rnacentral:rRNA from 1 species
UAAUACGGAGGGUGCAAACGUUGCUCGGAAUCAUUGGGCGUAAAGCGAGCGUAGGCGGUCUUAUAAGUCGGAUGUGAAAGCCCUCGGCUCAACCGAGGAAGUGCACCCGAAACUGCAAGACUUGAGUGUCGGAGAGGGUGACGGAAUUCCCGGUGUAGAGGUGAAAUUCGUAGAUAUCGGGAGGAACAUCAGUGGCGAAGGCGGUCACCUGGACGAUAACUGACGCUGAGGCUCGAAAGCGUGGGGAGCAAACAGGAUUAGAUACCCUGGUAGUCCACGCCGUAAACGAUGAGUGCUAGGUGCUGAGGGUAUUGACCCCUUCGGUGCCGCAGCUAACGCAUUAAGCACUCCGCCUGGGGAGUACGGCCGCAAGGCUA